AUUGAACGCUGGCGGCAGGCCUAACACAUGCAAGUCGAGCGGUAGAGAGGUGCUUGCACCUCUUGAGAGCGGCGGACGGGUGAGUAAUGCCUAGGAAUCUGCCUGGUAGUGGGGGCUAACGUCCGGAAACGGACGCUAAUACCGCAUACGUCCUCCGGGAGAAAGCAGGGGACCUUCGGGCCCUGCGCUAUCAGAUGAGCCUGGGUCGGCUUAGCUAGUUGGUGAGGUAAUGGCUCACCAAGGCGACGAUCCGUAACUGGUCUGAGAGGAUGAUCAGUGACACUGGACCUGGUACACGGGCCAGACUCCUACGGGAAGCAGAAGUGGGGAAUAUUGGACAAUGUGCGAAAGCCUGAUCCAGCCAUGCCGCGUGUGUGAAGAAGGUCUUCGGAUUGUAAAGCACUUUAAGUUGGGAGGAAGGGUUGUAGAUUAAUACUCUGCAAUUUUGACGUUACCGACAGAAUAAGCACCGGCUAACUCUGUGCCAGCCGCCGCAGUAACAC
rnacentral:rRNA from 1 species